CUGCUGCCCGACUGUCCGGGCAUCGGGCAACUUUCACUCUGCCGCCGCUUCCGGGUCCGAACGGAAGACCGCCCAGCUCCGUGCCGGUGGUUUCCACCGCCACCUGCCACAGCGCCGAAGCCUACAGCCCGGGGUCGAUCUCCCCGCGCGGCACUGCGUACUGUCGCUUCGCCGAGACACCGAGUCCCGACGUGAGACGUCUUCGCCGGAUGCCGGCUCCCAGCUGAGGGCCGCAGUCGGCUCGGCGCACGACCCGCUGCGACGCCGAACGGGUGCCCCACCUCUUGGCUGCACGUGUCCACGACGGGCCACACUUCUGCCUGCGCUGCUUCGGCGUCGGAAUAUUGUGGAACGCCGCUGGGCAGUAUCCUGGACUGUGACGUGCGUAUUUAACUGUUCGAGGGUAACAGAAUGGUUGUCUUGUUACGUUCGACGAUGAUUUUGCUGUAGCUGCCCACAAUGUCCUCCAGUCUUCCUCCUCGUCAACCGAAUCCGGGACCGCCAGUCGGAGGUCGAGUGCCUCUUGACAAACGCCGAGACGACUCCCUCCGAUCGGUACCUGUCGUAUGCGUAACCUGUCUGCAACGUUGUGGGGUCAGAAUUGCAAUUGCUCGGAGACCGAUCGAUCGACAGAGGAGAAGGAGGCUUGCUUCGUUCUAUUGGCAGAAGCAGAUAGAGACUGCAGUGGUGAUUCGACUCGGACAUCGGCAACGUAUGACACUCGGCUCCUUGCCCAAAAUCACCUGAUUCCACUGAGUAUGCUGACAGAAAGGCCAAUCUGCCAGGCAGUGCAGACAGAGCACACAGUUAAGGCGACGAAGGCUGCGGGUACCGAGAAAGAUUGGGACAACGUAAACAAUAGGUUGAAAGGUGACAGCAGCGUUUGCCGAGUCUUGUGGUGCAGUGAAAGUUUGUCUCGGAUGUUUAGCUGGUGUAGCUUGUAGUCAUCUGAAGGUGGAGCCCUCGAAGUUACCAGAAGGCGAGAUUGCAGUGCCGGGCCUACGGGAAGCUCUAAAUCGUGUGGCGCUUUGCCAAUUUAUUAGGGAAAUAUUCACACACUGUGACUAGCCACUGUCCAGAGCAGUUGUUGUCGAGGCUUUUUGCAUUUUUAAUUUAGAGAAACGAUUGUCCUUAAGCAAGUAAAAUGUCAUAGUUAUUGAAAGGUUAACAAACUCACUACCAUGUGAAACUGGCACAUUUCGUUUGAGGAAACAUUUAUAUCAAUUCACUUGAGAUAGUAAAUGAAAGGAAUAUAAAUGCAGGUUCCUCCUUGCGUGUCAUAUUAUAGCAGAGGUGCAUCAUUGUUGUUAGAAAAGGAAGGAAAAAUACUUGACACUUUUAAUGUAAAUUAGUUUUUCUUGGGCCAACAGAAACUAUUUGUUUUAGUUAA